UGAAAGAUGAGCAUGCGUCCCAUUAGCUAGUUGGUAAGGUAACGCUUACCAAGGCAACGAGUGGGUAGGGGUCCUGAGAGGGAGAUCCCCCCACACUGGUACUGAGACACGGACCAGACUCCUACGGGAGGCAGCAGUGGGGAAUUUUCCGCAAUGGGCGAAAGCCUGACGGAGCAAUACCGCGUGAGGGAAGAAUGCCUAUGGGUUGUAAACCUCUUUUUCAGGGAGGAAUAAAAUGACGUGUACCUGAAGAAUAAGCAUCGGCUAACUCCGUG
rnacentral:rRNA from 1 species